rnacentral:tRNA from 2 species
GCCCGAGUGGCGGAAUUGGUAGACGCGCAUGGUUGAGGGCCAUGUGGCCGUUAUAGGCCGUGGAGGUUCGAGUCCUCUCUCGGGCACCG